UUCUCCUGGAAACGGGUGGUAAUGCCGGAUGCUCCGACUCCUCGCAUGGGGUGUCGGGAAAGAUUUCAUCGGUAUGGGAUGGGGUCGCGUCCUAUCAGGUAGUCGGCGGGGUAACGGCCCACCGAGCCUACGACGGGUAGCCGGCCUGAGAGGGCGACCGGCCACAUUGGGACUGAGAUACGGCCCAGACUCCUACGGGAGGCAGCAGUGGGGAAUAUUGCACAAUGGGCGCAAGCCUGAUGCAGCGACGCCGCGUGCGGGAUGACGGCCUUCGGGUUGUAAACCGCUUUUGAUCGGGAGCAAGCCUUCGGGUGAGUGUACCUUUCGAAUAAGCACCGGCUAACUACGUGCCAGCAGCCGCGGUAAUACGUAGGGUGCAAGCGUUAUCCGGAAUUAUUGGGCGUAAAGGGCUCGUAGGCGGUUCGUCGCGUCCGGUGUGAAAGUCCAUCGCUUAACGGUGGAUCUGCGCCGGGUACGGGCGGGCUGGAGUGCGGUAGGGGAGACUGAAAUUCCCGGUGUAACGGUGGAAUGUGUAGAUAUCGGGAAA
rnacentral:rRNA from 1 species